GGUGUUUGCACAUAAUGUAAGCGGUAUUUGCACAUAACGUAAUAGUGUUUGCACAUAAUGAUGUAGUUGUUAUACAUAACUUAAUAGGUAUUUGUACAUAACGCAAUAGGUCUUUGCACAUAAGGUAAACUAUGUUUGCACAUAGGGUAAACGAUGUUUGCACAUAAGGGGAACGAUGUUUGCACAUAAGGUAAACGAGAAUUGCACAAAACGUAUAAGUUGUU
rnacentral:lncRNA from 1 species